rnacentral:tRNA from 1 species
UGGGUGGGGUGUUUUGGGUAUUUUUGGGUGUGUUGGUGAUGGGGUCUUUGAG